rnacentral:lncRNA from 1 species
GACGUAGGAGCAACUGAGGAGGUAUCCUCCACAUGUCGUGUGUAUCUUUGCAGAUCAUAAUUUCGAGUAAACAACCCUUAACAAGAUUCGAUCGGGGGGAGCCAACAUAAUCAGCCCCACAAAUUAUCUCCUAAACUGAGAACAUUGACAGGACUCUUCUUUGGGUCCUUGCUCUCCACAACAGCUGUUUGCUAUGGCAACUUCAUCCCCAAGGUUCACGUGGUGUGAUUGUCGCAAACACAAGAUUCCUGUCAAAGACACCCAUGAGCUGUGCCUGCAUUGUCUGGGCAUCCAGCAUGCCAAGGAGGCUGUGCUGGAGUAUGGCAAAUGCCCACACUGUGCCAAGAUGGACUGGAGCACCUGCAUCAACCGCCUCACUAAAGUUCAGGAGAUAAUGCACCGCGAGAGCCAGCAGAGGAAGCACGAGGCAGCACAGUCUGAAGUUAAGCCCAAGCCUGAGACCACUUCAGCUCCCAUCAAGGAACCAAAACCGGAAGAAAAUACAGUCCCCACCCUGCCCCCACAUCGGCUCUCUGCUUCCACACCAGCCCAUUCCUCCACCAUGCCAGUGUUGUUCACCAUCCUCUCCCCACCCCCAGCGCAGGCAGGGGACAAUUUGAGCAUCCCAAAAGGCACUUUCCUCUCACAACUUGCUAUUCAGCAGUCAGCUGACUCCACCCCAUCCUUGAGCCAAUCAGGUUCCAACAUGCUGACCUCCAGCUCCUGUAAACGACACGGUUUCUCAUCGUCCUGCUCCAAACGCUCCAAACGAAGCCGCAGUAGCCACAGGCGGAGACGCUCUCCCUCCUCCUCCUCUUCCUCUUCAGACUGGAGCUCUGAUGAAGAUGAUUCCUGCCCCUCUGGAAAGGGAAGGAGGUCUCAGAGGGAAUCGCGGCAAGCUGUCCGGUCAGAGAGGAGGCACGGGGAGCUGGUGGAGGUUGUUCAACAGGCCGUCCAGCUACAGUGGGCUGCUCUGGAGAGGAGAGGUGCUGAGGCUGUUGUGUCGUUCCCCACUCCAGCCCAAACUAUACAUCUUCACGCCUCCAUCCCUCUGGCAUCCACCUCCUCUCAGGAGGGCAACCAGAGAGAUUUAUCCUGCCUUGUCAGCGAGCAGCUGGUGACGGAAUCUAUGUCCAGUACCAUUGUGAAGCAGGAAGAGGAGCCUUCCUCCAUUUCGUUUGCCUUGAGACCUCUCAGUGAUGGACACCGUGAAGGGGAGGAUGCCUCUCAGUCAACUGAGGGUCCUAUCUCUAAACAGGACUUACUGGAAGCUAUGGAGCUUCAGAGCCUCAUAGCACGUGCUGCCAAGUAUCUUGGUAUAGACUUUCCCAGCACACCAGCCAGCCCCAGCCCACCAGACCCCACAAUGGUGCCGGAGUUUGAGGACCUGGUCCAGAGCUUUUGGCCAAACCCUGCCAGCUCGAAACCGUACAGGGAGCUGUUCUCUAAGAUGUACAGGCUUCACGACUGCCAGUCUCCAGCGUAUGACCAGAUGCCCCAGGUCAACAGUUUCAUGUCGGCUAUCUUCCAGGCGGUGAAGCCCACAGAGAACAAGGAGGCGCCGGUGCCAGCUGAGCGAUGGCGUUUCACUGAGACUCUAGUAGAGAGGAUGUACCAGACUGCUGGCAUGCUUGCCAAGACGGCCAACUACCUACGCUACCUAUCAGACUACCAGAGGAGGCUUCUGCUGGAGAUCACUGAGGAUUGUCCAGCCCAGCGUUUUAUGGUGGCCCUUAACGAGCUGAAGCUCAUUGGCCAGUUCACCCUCCAGCUAUCCUCCCACCAGGCUGAACUGUCUGGAAGGGUCAUGGCUGCUUCUGUAGCCAUCCGAAGACAGGUCUGGAUGGCUAAGACCAACUACACAGACUCUCUGAAAGCCACUGUGGCUGACCUUCCAUUUGUGGUCAGUCACACCUUUGGGGUUAGCUCAGCCUCAGGCCCUAGCUCAACUGGAAUGGUGUGCAAACAGGAACCGUUGUAAAGGCUACAUUUGUUACAUGUAUAAAAAGUGUGAGUAGUAUGAACUUUUACCUGUGCUGAAUUGGGUUGAGACCACUAAAUGGUUUACUUGUAGACAUGUAAAUAGGGAAAUAUUCUUUAUAGUCUUAUUGCACUCCAGUUCAAUAUACCUUUUGAUAGAAUUUUUUUUAUCUAGGAAUUUUGCAACUGUUUUUGAACAAAGGUAGCAUAGUAUCUGUGUCUUGACUGCAUUACAGUUCUUUUGACUGCGUGUUUGGUAAACUUCUUC